AAGUCGUAACAAGGUCUCCGUAGGUGAACCUGCGGAGGGAUCAUUAACACUGAUUAGCAAACAAAGUAGACUUCUUAUGAUAGAACUGUAACUAGUCCUAUCAUUUGUUCUCUACUUUGCUUGUAUACCAACUCGUGAACGAAACAUUAUGCCUCUCCUUAGUUGUUGUAACAACAGCUAAGUUAUGUUUUUUAUUGUAUUUAUUUUAUACAAACUAUAACCUCAAUGUAUAACGUUUUCAUAAAUAACGCACAUUGUGUAUUAUUUAUGAUGAUAAGUUAAACAAUUUAAGCACAACUCUUAGCAACGGAUAUCUCGGUUCUC
rnacentral:misc_RNA from 1 species